rnacentral:rRNA from 1 species
GCCUCGCGCGAUUGGAGCGGCCGAUGUCGGAUUAGCUAGUUGGUAGGGUAAAGGCCUACCAAGGCGACGAUCCGUAGCGGGUCUGAGAGGAUGAUCCGCCACACUGGGACUGAGACACGGCCCAGACUCCUACGGGAGGCAGCAGUGGGGAAUUUUGGACAAUGGGCGCAAGCCUGAUCCAGCCAUGCCGCGUGAGUGAAGAAGGCCUUCGGGUUGUAAAGCUCUUUCAGGUGGAAAGAAAACGCAUAGGUUAAUACCUUGUGUGGAUGACGGUACCAUCAGAAGAAGCACCGGCUAACUACGUGCCAGCAGCCGCGGUAAUACGUAGGGUGCGAGCGUUAAUCGGAAUUACUGGGCGUAAAGCGUGCGCAGGCGGUGAUGUAAGACAGAUGUGAAAUCCCCGGGCUCAACCUGGGAACUGCGUUUGUGACUGCAUCACUCGAGUACGGCAGAGGGAGGUGGAAUUCCGCGUGUAGCAGUGAAAUGCGUAGAUAUGCGGAGGAACACCGAUGGCGAAGGCAGCCUCCU